UAUUAAAGUGGCAGAUUUAAAUGCAAUGGAUUUAAGCUCCUUUUAUGAAUUAUUCCUUUAAUAA
rnacentral:tRNA from 1 species